GAUCCUGGCUCAGGAUGAACGCUGGCGGCGUGCCUAACACAUGCAAGUCGAACGGAGUGUUGAGAGCUUGCUUUUGACACUUAGUGGCGGACGGGUGAGUAAUGUGUGAGCAACCUGCCUUUCAGAGGGGGACAACAGUUGGAAACGACUGCUAAUACCGCAUAACGUAUAUGGACGGCAUCGCCUGUAUACCAAAGGAGCAAUCCGCUGAAAGAUGGGCUCACAUCUGAUUAGCUAGUUGGUGAGGUAACGGCUCACCAAGGCUGCGAUCAGUAGCCGGACUGAGAGGUUGAACGGCCACAUUGGGACUGAGAUACGGCCCAGACUCCUACGGGAGGCAGCAGUGGGGAAUAUUGGGCAAUGGGCGAAAGCCUGACCCAGCAACGCCGCGUGAAGGAAGAAGGUCUUCGGAUUGUAAACUUCUUUUAUGAGGGACGAAGGAUGUGACGGUACCUCAUGAAUAAGCCACGGCUAACUACGUGCC
rnacentral:rRNA from 1 species